rnacentral:rRNA from 1 species
GACGAACGCUGGCGGCGUGCCUAAUACAUGCAAGUUGAGCGAUGAAGCUUGGUGCUUGCACCAAUUUGAAGAGCAGCGAACGGGUGAGUAACGCGUGGGGAAUCUGCCUUUGAGCGGGGGACAACAUUUGGAAACGAAUGCUAAUACCGCAUAACAACUUUAAACAUAAGUUUUAAGUUUGAAAGAUGCAAUUGCAUCACUCAAAGAUGAUCCCGCGUUGUAUUAGCUAGUUGGUGAGGUAAAGGCUCACCAAGGCGAUGAUACAUAGCCGACCUGAGAGGGUGAUCGGCCACAUUGGGACUGAGACACGGCCCAAACUCCUACGGGAGGCAGCAGUAGGGAAUCUUCGGCAAUGGACGAAAGUCUGACCGAGCAACGCCGCGUGAGUGAAGAAGGUUUUCGGAUCGUAAAACUCUGUUGGUAGAGAAGAACGUUGGUGAGAGUGGAAAGCUCAUCAAGUGACGGUAACUACCCAGAAAGGGACGGCUAACUACGCG